rnacentral:rRNA from 1 species
CAGCCGCCGCGGUAAUUCCGGCGGCCCGAGUGGCGGUCACUAUUAUUGGGCUUAAAGCGUCCGUAGCCGGGUUGGGAAGUCCUCCGGGAAAUCUGGCCGCUUAACGGUCAGAAUGCCGGAGGAUACUCCCAGCCUAGGGAGCGGGAGAGGCCGAGGGUAUUCCCGGAGUAGGGGUGAAAUCCUAUAAUCCCGGGAGGACCACCUGUGGCGAAGGCGCUCGGCUGGAACGCGUCCGACGGUGAGGGACGAAGGCCAGGGGAGCAAACCGGAUUAGAUACCCGGGUAGUCCUGGCUGUAAACGAUGCGGACUUUGUGUCGGACAAGCUAUGAGCUUGUCCGGUGCCGGAGGGAAACCGUUAAGUCCGCCGCCUGGGGAGUACGGCCGCAAGGCUGAAACUUAAAGGAAUUGGCGGG